GACGAACGCUGGCGGCGUGCUUAAUACAUGCAAGUCGAGCGGUGAACCCGACUGAAAGCCUUCGGGCUUGACGUUGGGGGAUCAGCGGCGGAUGGGUGAGUAACGCGUGGGUACCUGCCCUAAAGUCUGGGAUAACAACUCGAAAGGGUUGCUAAUACCGGAUGUGACCGAGAGGUUAAAGGCAGAGAUGUCGCUUUAGGAUGGGCCCGCGUCCCAUUAGCUAGUUGGUGAGGUAAGGGCUCACCAAGGCUGCGAUGGGUAGCCGGCCUGAGAGGGUGGACGGCCACACUGGGACUGAGACACGGCCCAGACUCCUACGGGAGGCAGCAGUAGGGAAUUUUCCGCAAUGGACGGAAGUCUGACGGAGCGACGCCGCGUGGGGAAGAAGGCCUCGGUUGUAACUACUGUCUUCAGGACGAAGAAGGGUGGUGGGAGGACGACACCGAACGACCGGUACCGUCGAGGAGGGAAGCCCCGGGCCGUAACCGUAACGUAGGCCAGCAGCCGCGGUAACGUAGUACUACUAU
rnacentral:rRNA from 1 species